GUGAGGAAUAUUGGUCAAUGGAGGCAACUCUGAACCAGCCAUGCCGCGUGCAGGAAGACGGUCCUAUGGAUUGUAAACUGCUUUUAUUUAGGAAUAAACCCCCGGUCGUGCACCGGGGCUGAAUGUACUAAAAGAAUAAGCACCGGCUAACUCCGUGCCAGCAGCCGCGGUAAUACGGAGGGUGCAAGCGUUAUCCGGAAUCAUUGGGUUUAAAGGGUCCGCAGGCGGGUAAAUAAGUCAGAGGUGAAAUCCGGCAGCUCAACUGUCGCACUGCCUUUGAUACUGUUUAUCUUGAAUUUUAGUGGAGUGGGCGGAAUAUGUCAUGUAGCGGUGAAAUGCUUAGAUAUGACGUGGAACACCGAUAGCGAAGGCAGCUCACUAACUAUGAAUUGACGCUCAUGGACGAAAGCGUGGGUAGCAAACAGGAUUAGAAACCCGUGUAGUCC
rnacentral:rRNA from 1 species